rnacentral:lncRNA from 9 species
GCCCCCCAUCCUGAAGCAGCCACAGGCCCUGGUCCUCACAUCGCAGCUGAGUCAUCACCAGAUGUGGAGUCUCCAGGGGGAGCUGAGCACCGGGGAAGGGGAGGCCUGCUCUCUGGGCAGGGAAGGGCUUCCUCCUCUUCCUCCCGAGAAAGCAGGCUCCGGUCUGGGGCUGCAGUGAGCCAGGCCCAGGCCCACCCACGCAGACACCUGUCCUCACCGGCUCAGGCACCCUGUGCUUUCCACCGUAGCCUGACCAGGGGCCCACUCUCUCUGGCAGGGCCCCCAGGUCUCUUAGACUCAUUCAGGAAAAGCACAAGACAAAGCAUCGCAUCCCGAGCUCUGCCGUGGACCGCAAGGCCGAAGCUGCGUCUCUGCAGACCUGCGGUGUUGACCUGCAUGCGACUUCCUCCAUUCACCUCAGCACCUGUGGCCUUUGCGGGGGGCGAUUCUCCAGGUCCUGGAUCAGCCCCCUUAACAGAAGGCCAGCCCAGCCCUGGAGGGGGGCGCGUCCCCUCCCGCCCCAGCAGAGCUGCCGGCCCCUUUGGAUCUUUUUGCGGUCUGGGCUUGCUGUUCCUCUCUACAGUAGUCAGGAAGCCCUUACCCCAAAAAGUAUCUGCGGGAGGCCUUGUCUACAGAGAGGACACCACCCCAUGGGCUCCAGGCCUAUGUGUGACUAGAGAUGGUGGGAGUAUAAGAAAAAGGACAACUCAUUAUUGAUGUUUCAGAUGCCGUCAUGUUAUGGAUGACACUGGCAGGGACCCCAAGGGAUGAGACCUAUCUCUGCUGGAGAACGUUGGGCAUCUUAAUAGAUAAGAUAAUGAAGCGAAGCCUUAACAGCAAACACUCAUUAAACUUUAACGAUUUCUAUCUACCCUCGUCCCACAAGCAGCUUCCACACAUGCCUCUGCGCAGCUGUGGCCUCAGGACUGAGGCGCAGUGUAGACCGUGUUCAUCGGAACGGCGUUGGAUGACUUUAUUGACCAACUCGGCUCAGCUUUUCUAAGGGGAAAAGCUCUGUUCGUACCAAAGGCUUCUCCAGGCCCUUCCCCAACACCUCUGAUUAAACAGGCUGAGCUCCCCAGAGAACAAUCCGCACCAGGAUGCAGCGAAGCCCAGCAGUGGUCUUUCCUGAUGCUCUGGUCCUCCUCGCCCUGCCCGCUGACGGAUGACUCCGCUCCGUGACUUUACUGAACUCCAGUUCGCCCACCUCCCCACACUCGUGUCCUCAGCUGUAAGCAGGCGCACUUGUGACCUGGGAGAGAACCCAAACCAACACCGACCCUGACCCCUGACAGGAGUGUUAGACUCGCAGCAGAGUCAGAUGGGAGCUGCAGGGCAAGGCUCCCCUUACAUGUGGUCUGAACCCAGGGGAGUUCACCUCGCUGAGUUAAACUCGAUGCGCUGUGACUGCCGGGCCAUGGUGCUUCGUAUCUGACUCCCAAGGGACUCUUCCUCAAGUGACUGCAAGCUCCUUGGGCACUUUUCUAUUUUGGCAUCCCCUGGGAUCAUGCAGAGCACAGAGGGAUGCUCAGGCAGAAAGCACCUUGUGUCUCUGUGUCACCUUUUGGUUAAAAGGACUUUAAAAGUCAUGUUCUGGGAUGGCCUGCUUUGUACCUACCAGAGAGCAGGGUUUGCAGAGUCAGGCAACUUUAGGGGUCUGCUUACACUCUAACCUGAUCAGGGACCUGGUUGCUAAGCGACCUUUCAAUGGAGAUUAGUGAUAACAAACUCAGCAAAGAGCUGAGGCUUGAGAAAGGAAUUCAGGUGAUGAAAAUUCUCCUGCUGAUUCAGAAAAAGGCAGUCGCAAGUUUUGAACCUCCUGGAAACCUCAUACCGCUGUCUAAUUUUCUCUCUCUCUGCAAGGCAGCAGGGAUGAGGCAAAGAAACCCAGAAAAAAAGUGAAUUCUUCUUUUGAGAAGUUGUAAGGGGUCAGGAGGCGGUCCUUAAUUAAAUAUCAGAGAUCAAGCCUGGAGAAAAUCAGCUGACCAGGACUCUCGGAAAAUCUGACCAGAUUUGGCCAACACCUGAGAAGGUUAAAAGAUUCAGAGCCAACGAAUUGCACUCCUUAAGGAGGACCGAGAUUAAGUAAAUAAAGGGUGGAGUUCCCGUCGUGGCGCAGUGGUUAGUGAAUCCGACUAGGGACCAUGAGGUUGCGGGUUCGAUCCCUGGCCUUGCUCAGCGGGUUAAGGAUCCAGCAGUGCUGUGAGCUGUGGAGUAGGUUGCAGACACGGCUCGGAUCCCGAAUUGCUGUGGCUGUGGCGUAGGCCAGCGGCUACAGCUCCAAUUCGACCCCUAAUCUAGGAAUCUUGCUGAGGGAAGUGGCCCUAGAAAAGGCAAAAACACAAAUAAAAUAAAUAAAUGGUGACAGUACUAGCAAUGAAGACACUGGUUUAUGCUUAGUAUUUGCAUUUCUUUGGGUCUAACUCCAACUACAGAUCCUUUUUUUUUUUUGCUUUUUAGGGCCUCACUCUCAGUUCCCAGGCUAGGGGUUGAAUCAGAGCUUACAGCUGCCAGCCUGCGCCACAGCCACAGCAACUCUGGAUCCUUCACGCACUGAGCGAGGCCAGGGAUCAAACCUGCAUCCUCACGGAUACUAGUCAGAUUCAUUUCCGCUGCGCCACAGUGGGAACGCCCCAGAUCCUAUUUGUAAUGAAUACGCUUUAUUCUUUGUUCUUGGUUAUUUUAAUAAAAAGCUCUUUUAAUUUAUGUCAAGUACACCUAUGCCACUCGAAAAGCAUGCUGCAGUUACUAAUGCCUUUGGGCAACUAAGCAAUUCAAACCCAGCUGACUCUUUGGUGUAGUGUGUUCUAAGCAUGGGGAAGGAAUCUCAAAGGGCAGAAAUUCUCUCUAGGGCACUCGUGAUGUGAAUCUAUAAAGUUCUUAUAAUUAUCAUAAUGCUUGAUCAGUAUUUAUUCAACCUCCCCCCACCAAGGGACAAAAUUUAACACCCUGCGAUAGCCAAUAGCCAGUGUCCUAAGGAUGCGUGAAUAAAAGGAAUGGGAAUCCCUGCAUUUCCCUGGGGUGCUGCUCCCGUGCUUCAGGCAACAGUGGUUGUAAAGGUUCAGGCUGUUUGGCCCAAGGGAGGCCCAGGGCUUCGCCAGACCCUGCCCCUCUGACUCCAUGUGUUUAGGUGAAAGCAAUGAAAAGAACGUUCCCCCAAAAGCUCACACAUACAAAAUGCACUGGGAGUCCUGCCAUAGCGAAGGCACAAGUAUCCGUAAAAUAUAAAGUCAGAACCCUUGGACAUUCCAAGAGCCCGGGGGCGCUCCUUGGGCUUCUGAGAUAUUUCAGGGCACCUGCUUUGGCUU